AGGUUUUACGGUGAUAUUUUUUUUUUCUGUGAACGACUUUUUGUACCAGAAAUCUUGUUACAUUUAUCAAGUGUAGCACAUAAUUAUGGUUGCACGAAAAUAUGCUCGGCCAUAAACAUCCGAAUUCUAGUCACGAGGUAGCUGAUUAAAUAAUAACCCCAUCACGCACGCGUGCGACAAGUUAUAGAUACUUAUGCUUGGAACCAAACUAUAACAAACUAUAACACAAAUAGGCUUGCUAUUAAUUUAUUUGACUACGUUUUUAAUGAAUCUUACGAACUAAUGUAGAAUAUAUCUACAGGUUUUUUUAAUGAGUUAACACAACUAUUUAAUUAUCACUGAACGUAACGUUGGGAAACAAUAAAUUACCAAAGUAUCAACUGCUCAUUAAUUAAUCGAACUGACAUAUAC